GGAGGGUACAGCUCAGUGGCAGAGUGCAUGCUUAGCAUGCACAAGGUCCUGGGUUCAAUCCCCAGGACCUCCA
rnacentral:tRNA from 1 species